UACGUAGGGUGCGAGCGUUAAUCGGAAUUACUGGGCGUAAAGUGUGCGCAGGCGGCCGCGCAAGUCGAGUGUGAAAGCCCCGGGCUUAACUUGGGAAUUGCGCUCGAAACUACGUGGCUGGAGUGUGGCAGAGGAAGGUGGAAUUCCACGUGUAGCGGUGAAAUGCGUAGAGAUGUGGAGGAACACCAGUGGCGAAGGCGGCUUUCUGGUCUGUAACUGACACUGAGGCGCGAAAGCGUGGGGAGCAAACAGG
rnacentral:rRNA from 1 species